rnacentral:rRNA from 1 species
CAAGUCGAGCGAGAACCGGGACUUCGGUCCCGGGGGCAGCGGCGAACGGGUGCGUAACACGUGAGCAACCUGCCCCGAAGACCGGGACAACCCGAGGAGACUCGGGCUAAUACCGGAUGUCCUCACCGGAUCGCAUGGUCCGGCGAGGAAAUGGAUUCCGCUUCGGGAUGGGCUCGCGGUCUAUCAGCUUGUUGGUGGGGUAACGGCUCACCAAGGCGACGACGGAUAGCUGGUCUGAGAGGACGAUCAGCCACACUGGGACUGAGACACGGCCCAGACUCCUACGGGAGGCAGCAGUGGGGAAUCUUGCGCAAUGGGGGAAACCCUGACGCAGCGACGCCGCGUGCGGGAUGAAGGCCUUCGGGUUGUAAACCGCUUUCAGCAGGGACGAAAUUGACGGUACCUGCAGAAGAAGGCCCGGCCAACUACGUGCCAGCAGCCGCGGUAAUACGUAGGGGCCUAGCGUUGUCCGGAUUUAUUGGGCGUAAAGAGCUCGUAGGCGGUUCGGUAAGUCAGGUGUGAAAUCUCCACGCUCAACGUGGAGGCGCCACCUGAAACUGCCGUGACUCGAGUCCGGUAGGGGAGUGUGGAAUUCCCGGUGUAGCGGUGAAAUGCGCAGAUAUCGGGAGGAACACCAGUAGCGAAGGCGGCACUCUGGGCCGGUACUGACGCUGAGGAGCGAAAGCGUGGGGAGCGAACAGGAUUAGAUACCCUGGUAGUCCACGCCGUAAACGUUGGGCACCAGGUGUGGGACUCUAUCGACGGGUUCCGUGCCGUAGCUAACGCAUUAAGUGCCCCGCCUGGGGAGUACGGCCGCAAGGCUAAAACUCAAAGGAAUUGACGGGGGCCC